rnacentral:rRNA from 1 species
UGUGUAGGCGGCCUUUAAGUUUGGUGUGAAAUCUCCCGGCUUAACUGGGAGGGUGCGCCGAAUACUGAAGGGCUAGAGUGCGGGAGAGGAGAGUGGAAUUCCUGGUGUAGCGGUGAAAUGCGUAGAUAUCAGGAGGAACACCGGUGGUGUAGACGGCUCUCUGGACCGUAACUGACGCUGAGACACGAAAGCGUGGGUAGCAAACAGGAUUAGAUACCCUGGUAGUCCACGCCCUAAACGAUGCAUAUUUGGUGUGGGUCAUUCAGUUGAUCCGUGCCGGAGCUAACGCGUUAAAUAUGCCGCCUGGGGAGUACAGUCGCAAGGCUGAA